GGGGCUUUAGCUCAGUUGGUAGAGCAUCUGCUUUGCAAGCAGAGGGUCAGCGGUUCGAAUCCGCUAAGCUCCA
rnacentral:tRNA from 1 species